AAAGUUGGAUACUUAUUGGAAAUAGAGCGUUACCACAAUAUUUAAAUGGUGUGGAGCUAUUUUUGAAUUUUGCAUUUUCUAAUCUUGAGGUUGGUGUAAGAAUUAAAUGUCCGUGCAUAAAAUGCAAUAAUGCUCUUUGGAAAACGCGAGAUGAAGUGAGAAUAGAUUUGUGUAGGUUUGGAAUGAAUCAAACAUAUAAAAAGUGGAUUCAUCAUGGAGAGCUAGAUCUUUCUUCAGAUGAUGAAACAAAUCUUAGUGAAGAUUCAAGUUUAGCAAAUGAUCAUGUUCCAAUUUAUGAAAUGUUGCAUGAUAUAUAUCAUGGUGAUCCCAGCAAUAGUGAUGAGUUUAAUGACACAACUAAGUCUCCGAACGAAGAGCCUAAUACAGAAGCUAAGAGAUUCUAUAAGUUAAUGAAAGAUGCAGAAAAUUGAUUGUAUCCAAGUUGUGAAAAGUACUCCAAACUAUCUUUUAUAGUGCGUCUUUUUCAAAUGAAGUGUAUGCAUGGAUGGAGUAAUACUUCAUUUGACUCUUUGUUGAAAUUAAUUAGUGAUGCUUUACCUAAAGAAAAUGUGCUCCCAGAUUCUAUUUAUGAAGUUCAAAAGAUAAUAAAAGAUUUGGGUUUAGAUUAUGUGAAGAUAGAUGCAUGCGUUAAUAACUGUAUCUUAUAUAGAAAGGAAUAUGUGAAUCUUGAACAAUGUCCUAAAUGUGGUGAAAAAAGAUGGACAAUGAGAAAAGGAAAAGAUUCCAAUAGUGAAGUUGCUUCGGGUAAUUUGAAUAACAAAAAGAAAGGUAUUUCUAGAAAGAUUCUUAGAUACUUUCCUAUUAUACCUAGAUUACAACGAUUGUUUAUGACUAAAGGAACCGCAAAAGAAAUGAGGUGGCAUAAGGAUGAAAGAGUUGAUGAUGGAGUGUUACGACAUCCUGCUGACUCGUUGGCGUGGAAAAGUUUUGAUGAAAAAUAUCCAAAUUUUGCUUCAGAUCCUCGUAGCAUAAGACUUGGACUUGCAUCAGAUGGUUUUAAUCCUUUUGGUUCAAUGAGUAAUUCAUAUAGCAUGUGGCCAGUUAUCUUGAUUCCAUAUAAUCUUCCCCCGUGGAUAUGCAUGAAACAAUCUAAUCUUUUGUUGUCUUUACUUAUUCCUGGACCGAAAGGUCCUGGUAUGGAUAUUGACGUGUAUCUCCAACCUUUGGUUGAUGAUUUGAAAAUCUUAUGGGGGGAUGGAAUUGAGACUUAUGAUGCUUUUAUGAAACAAAAUUUUCAAUUACAUGCUUCAUUGUUGUGGACAAUCAAUCAUUUUCCUGCUUAUGGUAUUUUAUCUGGUUAGAGCACUAAAGGUAAAUUAGCUUGUCCAGUUUGUCAUGUGCAUACUUGCUCUUCUUACUUGAAACAUGGUCGAAAGCAAUGUUAUAUGGGUCAUCGUAGGUUCUUGGAGAUGAAUCAUCCUUAUCGUCGAAAUAAAAGUCUUUUCGAUAAUACAAAGCAAGAAAGAAUUGCACCACAUGCUUUGAAUGGUGAAGAUGUUCUUGUUCAAAUUAAUACCUCUUUGCAAAGGUCUGCUGAUGACAAAACAAGAAAAAGAAAACGAGAUACUGAAAGACAUGAUAAUUGGAAAAAGAAAAGUAUAUUCUUUGAACUUCCAUAUUGGCAGACUUUAUUGUUGAGACAUAAUUUGGAUGUGAUGCACAUUGAAAAGAAUAUUAGUGAAAGUGUGUUAGGUACAUUGUUGGAUAUUGAAGGGAAAACAAAAGACACCCUGAAAUCUCGAUUGGACUUACAAGAAAUGAAGAUCAAAAAGUCCCUUUAUCUCAUAAAAAGUGGGGAGAAAUACAUACUUCCUCCAGCAAGUUAUACGAUGUCUAAGGCCGAAAGGAUUCAAUUUUGUCAGCUCAUCAAAGAAGUUAAGUUUCCCGAUGCUUACGCUUCUAACAUUAGCCGUAUCAAGGAAGCUAAAAUUUUUGGGCUUAAAAGUCAUGAUCAUCAUAUUCUCUUUCAACGUAUAGUACCACUUAUCAUUAAAGAAAUUUUACCAAAAGAUGCACAUGACCCAUUAAUUGAAUUCUCAUUGUUCUUUAAUGAUUUGUGUUCUAAAGAGUUAUCUAUGGAGAAGCUAGAUCAGCUAGAUAAAAGCAUACGAGUAACACUAUGUAAAUUAGAACGUGUGUUCAUGCCGACGUUCUUCGAUGUUAUGGUUCAUUUGGCAAUUCAUUUGGCAAAUGAGGCAAAGUUGGGUGGUCCUGUUCAAUUUCGAUGGAUGUAUUACAUUGAACGGUUGGUUUCUUACUUUUUAAAUCUAUUCUUUUGAUUUAAAUUUAUUAAAAAAUUUAAUAUUUUUCUUCGUAGAUUCCUACGAACCUUGAAAGGUUAUGUACGCAACAAUUAUCAUGUAGAAGGAUCAAUUGCUGAGGGUCAAAUUGCAGGGGAAUGCAUUACAUUAUUCUCUAGAUAUUUGAGCGAUAUGGAAACAACGCAAUAUCGUCCAGAUAGGAAUUCUAAUUCUUUUAACAUUGACAACAAUAGCUUAACUAUAUUUAGUUGUCAUGGUAAACCACUAGCAGGGGGUUCCUGCACUAAUUUGAAUACUUUAGAAAUCAAUCAGGCUCAUUUUUACAUUCUCCAAAAUUGUAAGGAAGUCAGACCUUGGAUUGAGUAAGAUAUGGUUUACCUUUAAAUCAAUUUCUUACAAACACUUAACAAUUAUGUCUAAUUUAUUUAUUUUUUUCAAAUCUCCACAAGUAUAGGGAACAUCUAGAAAUUUUAACAAAGGAGAAUAAUAGAAAUGUAGCAAAGAGACACAAGGAGGAAUUUCCUUUAUGGUUUGAAAAAAAGGUAAAAUCAUUCAUUUAAUGAUUUGCAUAUUUAUUCUUUUAAAUAACAUUAAUAUUAUUUGUGAUUUUGUGAUUAAAAUACUACAGGUGAUACAGUUAAAGGAAAAUGGUGAUAACCGAAUUACUGAAGAAUUACUAAUUUUGGCAAGACCUUCAGACCGUCGAGUUUUUUGUUAUAGCGGAUAUAUCUUGAAUGGUUCUCGAUUUCGAACAAUGGAAUCUGAGCUAGGUUUGAAAACUCAAAAUAGUGGUGUGGUUGUGAAGAGUGAUGAACAUACAGGAAAUAUUGAUUAUUUUGGAAGGAUAAGAAGAAUUUUAGAGAUCCAAUAUAUGAACAAUAAAUCUGUUAUGUUAUUUCAAUGUGAUUGGUUUGAAGUUCCUACUCAAGGUCGUAGUCAAAGUAGAGGUUACAAAAAAGAUGAAUAUGGAUUUGUCUGUGUAGAUAUAACACGACUUCAUUACACUAGUGAUCCAUUCAUUCUAGGUUCACAGGCUCAAUCAGUGUAUUAUGUGAAACAUGGUCAAAGUGAAAAAUGGCAUUCAGUGAUAAGGGUAAGACCACAACAUUUGUAUGAUCUUCCCGAACAAAAAGAUGAAAUGGAACAAUAUCAACUGAUUGACUUAGUUGAAAGAGGAGAAACAAUUCAAGAAGUAGAGUUGGAGCAUGAUAACAUCAGAAUAGAAAGAGGAGAUAUUGAUGGAGUGAGUGUUGAAGCACCUCUCAAUAACGAGGAAGAAGCUGACUUAGUAGUUAUAGAUGAUAUUGAUCACGAAAAUGUAGACGAAUUCAGUGAUUCUGAAAUAGAUGAAGAUACUAGUGAAUACGAUGAAGUUGAGGAUGAUGAUUGGUUUUGAUUUUCAACUUGUCAUCAAGAUAAAAUUUGUUUGAAUAAGUUUGUUCAUAGAAGCUUUGUUUUUCACUUACCGAAACAAUUAAUUUCUAUUUUCUACUUUUCGCAUAUCUCUUUAUCUUAGAAACUUUACUUGUUUCUCUUAAUUUUUGAACAUUAUUUUAUCACUUUAUUAUUUUGGCAUUGCGUUUGUUGGUUAAUUGCAGCCAACCAUGAUGAAAAAUAUGCAUAUUUCUAAUGAUAAUGAAACUACUGAUGUAAGUGCAAUCCUCCCUCCAGAAAAAAAAGGAAGGUAAGAGGAAAGACAACAGGGCUUUCAACCCAAAAGAAACGUAAGGAAAAUGACAAUGGAAAGUUGAAGGUGAUCAUUCCACCAGAUCGAACAGUUGCAGUAGGUCCUGGAGCUAAAGAUUUUAUUACCGAGCUCUCUGUGAAAGUUCUCCAUAAUGCUAGACAUGAUGUGAAGAAUUGGAAGGGAGUUCCUGAUCUAGCAAAGAAUAGAAUUGUUGCUUAUAUGCUGGACACCUUUCAGCUUCCGGACAUACAACACAAUCGUGAUACCAUUCUUCAAACAGCAAAAAAUUUAUAUCGAUAUCGUCGGAGCAGACAUCAUGAUCAUUUUAAUAAAUUUUCUACAAAAGAGGAGAG